CAUGACCCCGGUUCCGACAUGUCGAUGUUGUUGUUGCACUGACACGGUCGACACUGCCCCCCCACCUCAUCAGGGUUUCCAUAGUAACCAGAAACUUCAAACCGGUUCUGGAGAUAUAAUGUUACCUCUGUAUCCGGUGCUGCAGACACAGAUCGCCUGCUGGGAGUCGUCACUUCGGUAACAGCUUCCUGCAAACUGCCGCCGGCUGCUGGGGCCAUCGGGACACAUGCAGGGCCGACAGUGGUCACCUGACCCCAGCAUGGGGUCACCAUAGAAGCCGUCUAGACACCUUUAGACAUGAGAGGAAGUGAAGAGGACAACAAAGAAGUCAACAUUCUCUGUUUUUAUUCAGUGUGUGAGGGAAUAUUCCACCGACAGGUGUCUCACUGCUGCGACCUGGACAAACAGGGAGUUUGCUUCACAGCAGAUAGACACAGGAGGAUUUCAUGUCUUUUUUUUCAUAUUAUGUUUUACAUUGUGUAAACUCAGCAGAGCUUACUAUUAAAAAGACUCAAAGUCUA